UUGGAGGGCAGUCUGGUGCCAGCAGCCGCGGUAAUUCCAGCUCCAAUAGCGUAUAUUAAAGUUGUUGCAGUUAAAAAGCUCGUAGUUGAAUUUCGGGAUCAGAUUGUCGGUCGUGCCUCGGUACGCACUGGCAUUAUUGGUUCCUACCUUCUGAAGAACCGCGAUGUCAUUAAUUUGGUGUCGUGGGGAAUCAGGACUGUUACUUUGAAAAAAUUAGAGUGUUUAAAGCAGGCUUACGCUUGAAUACAUUAGCAUGGAAUAAUGAAAUAGGACGUUUGAUUCUAUUUUGUUGGUUUCUAGGAUUGACGUAAUGAUUAAUAGGGAUAGUUGGGGGCAUUAGUAUUCAAUUGUCAGAGGUGAAAUUCUUGGAUUUAUUGAAGACUAACUACUGCGAAAGCAUUUGCCAAGGAUGUUUUCAUUAAUCAAGAACGAAAGUUAGGGGAUCGAAGACGAUCAGAUACCGUCGUAGUCUUAACCAUAAACUAUGCCGACUAGGGAUCGGAUGAUGUUAAUUUUUUAAUGACUCAUUCGGCGCCUUACGGGAAAC
rnacentral:rRNA from 1 species